rnacentral:rRNA from 1 species
CAAUAGCGUAUAUUAAAGUUGUUGCAGUUAAAAAGCUCGUAGUUGGAUUUUGAGUUUAGUAAGAUUGGUCUGCUAUAUAGUAGUACUGACUUGCUGGCUCUUCUUCUCGAGACCUAUGAGUGCUCUUAAUCGGGUGUUCACUAGUGUUCGGGACUUUUACCGUGAGAAAAUUAGAGUGUUCAUAGCAGGCGUUUGCUUGAAUAUUGCAGCAUGGAAUAAUGGAAUAGGAUCAUGAUCUUAUUUUAUUGGUUUCUAAGAUCAAGAUAAUGAUUAAUAGGGAUAGUUGGGGGCGUUAAUAUUUAGUUGUCAGAGGUGAAAUUCUUAGAUUUACAAAAGAUUAACUUCUGCGAAAGCAUUCGCCAAGGAUGUUUNCGUUAA